rnacentral:lncRNA from 1 species
AGGUUAUCUCUGCUGCUUCAUAUGGUUGUUUACCUGUCCGUAGCCAGAUGUUCUGGACAGCAAAAAGCCACAGUGGGCUAGAGACUGAGGAAGAGAGAAAAGGAUCAGAAGAAAAUGCCAGGAGAAUAGGGAGAUAACAGUGCUCAACUGUGACUGUCAUCCAGGAGAAGAAAGAGAAAGGUGCAGCCCAGACCAACAGCAGAACAAUACUCAAUAUGCAAAUCCAUGCGUUUCCUAAAAAGCCACUUCAGAAU